GGCACUUUGGCGGAGUGGUUAACGCGCUGCCCUGCUAAGGCAGUUCCUUCGGGAGCAUGUGGUGGGUCUACAUGUCCAAAUCCGAUCUCGGCCA
rnacentral:tRNA from 1 species